UGCAAGUCGAGCGCGAAAGUCCCUUCGGGGGCAAGUAGAGCGGCGGACGGGUGAGUAAUACAUAGGUAAUCUACCUUCGAGCUUGGGAUAACCCCGCGAAAGUGGGGCUAAUACCGGAUAAGACCACGUAAUUAUUUUACGGGGUAAAAGGUGGCUUAUUUUUUAAAUGAGCUAUCACUUGAGGAUGAGCCUGUGGCCUAUCAGCUAGUUGGCGGGGUAAGAGCCCACCAAGGCUAUGACGGGUAGCUGGUCUGAGAGGACGACCAGCCACACUGGGACUGAGACACGGCCCAGACUCCUACGGGAGGCAGCAGUGGGGAAUAUUGGGCAAUGGGCGAAAGCCUGACCCAGCGACGCCGCGUGGGCGAUGAAGGCCUUCGGGUUGUAAAGCCCUGUCAUGCGGAAAGAACGACCCUGAGACGCAUACUCUCAGGGAGUGACGGUACCGCAGGAGGAAGCACCGGCUAACUCCGUGCCAGCAGCCGCGGUAAUACGGAGGGUGCAAGCGUUGUUCGGAAUUAUUGGGCGUAAAGGGCGCGUAGGCGGUAAUGCAAGUCAGAUGUGAAAUACUCCGGCUCAACUGGGGAACUGCAUCUGAAACUGCAUAACUAGAGUACAGAAGAGGGAAACGGAAUUCCCGGUGUAGAGGUGAAAUUCGUAGAUAUCGGGAGGAACACCAGUGGCGAAGGCGGUUUCCUGG
rnacentral:rRNA from 1 species